AUCUUUGCGCUUGGGGCAAUGACGUAGCUAGUGAGGUUCCAACCGAGGCACGUCUAUUGCUGGUUGAAAACUAUUUCCAUACCCCUCAUUGGCCUGGGUUCUGCCUAGGCCGUUGAGAAUUUUGAAAGGGCUCCCCUUAAGGUAGAGCC
rnacentral:snRNA from 1 species